UUUCAGUCACGUAUUGACAGAGGAGGUUGGACGUGGUUCGAGUUAUCGAGGGUAAUAUAUGUAGAGAGCAUCCCCUGAAAGGAUACGAAAAUUGCUUCGAGUUCACGGGAAGUUCGAGUUGUCGAGGGUAAAUUUUCAGUAAAUGCAUGACGGGCGAAUCGGCUUUGGUUCGAGUUAGCACGAGGUUCGAGAUAGCGAGGGUUCGAGUCAUUCGACUGUACCCCUUCUAAUUCUAUGGCUGGUGACAUAAGAUUGCGUGACUAUUAUUUUGACACUGACCAAAAUUAAAGCAGGCUCCUGUCAAUUGUCACAUGACAUGCUGCGGUCUUCGAAGGUCUAGCCCAAAGCGUCAUGUCGUGAAAGUUAUCGUUUUUUUGGUUGCAAACUUAAUAGAACGAUGUUAAUUUCCCAACUAGUCGUAGAAAACAGAAGAGAUGGUUAGUCACCGUAAGGAGCGACUGUGCAUACCCAAGUGCCAGAUCAAGAACGGCAACGCGAAACUUGCGAAGAUACCAUGUGCUUCGUGAUCUGCGUGGAAAUGGCUGAAGAUGCAAAACGAAGUAAACUGGACGCUCUCGGCAGUAGGCAAAGCAGUAUUACCUGCUUGAAUAUCCUUUCCUUAGGUACAUGGUGCUGUGGAAGGGGAAAGUGCCCUAAAUAAAUCAUAUGGAAAAUGGCUCAUUAAAACUAAAGGUUUUAGCAAUUUAAAAUCUCAGUGAUGUUAUGAUUAUUGUAAAUAUUAUGUAUUAUUAUUAUUAUUAUUAUUAACAUUUAUUUGCCACUGAAAAAGAAAACAAUUAAAUUGUAUGUGCACAGCUUAAAUAAGGUUCAAAUCCAUUUAUAAAUAGCUUUACAAUUGUUAACAUCACUUUGUGUACUUUGUUGAGAAAUGAUGGGUUCUUGUGUGAUACAGUAGAUGUAAAGAACAUAAUAAAUUAAAGGAAAUGUUCAUAUUCCCUGA